AGAAUAAAGUUCUAGUUUCUCUGUGGAGGAGAUCAUUCUCCAAUCAUGGCUGGGAUCUGGGGUCUGCAGCUUCUAAAAGCAUUUGACAUCAUCAUCUUAGUUUGAAUACUUGAACAUCUCCUGUUCUUGGGAUGAGGCGGGGGGGGGGGGUGCGGGGAGGAUUUUAAAGGCUAGACUGUUGUUGGUUCUGAGCUUCCUAUGUUCUGACUAGAACUCAGCAUUUUUGUGUUUCCUGGGCCAUUUGUCUCCCACUUAAGAAUAUUUAGGAAUUUUCUGGCCUCUGAAUACAUUAUUGCCUUCUCUUCCUCCUCCCCAAUGCCUUAAAAGCUGCCAUUUAGCUGAAUUUUGAGAGUGAAAAACAGGUAUACACAAACAUUUGUACACCCCCAGUCCCUCUCAACUGGAUUCUGUGCCCAGAAGUAGACCACUCCCCGUACAGCAUGGGAUUAGUCCCUCCAUGAUGGAGUGAAGCCUCAGGGUUAGGAGGGACCUACCCAUUAACUAGUUAUAGUGGCUUACUGGGAGCUGAUAUAGCACGCGCAUGAAGGGGUUCCUAAGUACUAGCUGAUUGUGGGCCUUAUAAUGAAAAUGAAGUGUAUUUCCCAGGGGCUACAAUCUCUAUGCUGUUCCAUUUGCUAUGCCUAGGACUGUGGACCUUGUCCUGUGUCUUUGACACUAAGGAUUAGGGGGCUCCAAGUUCCUCCCAAUAUUCUGGAACUAGAAGAGCAGCGUAUGGAAAACUCCAAAAGGUCAUAUAGGAUCAAAACAAUAAUCUUCAGAAUAAGCUAGUUUAAAAUAGUAGAACCCACAGGACCCCUUAUCCACAACUGUAGGUGUCUCAGCCAGUCCUAGGCUGCUGACUUGAUAGAGCAGUGCUCCACGCUGUCCCUCCUGGAUGCUUCUGUAGUCCCUUCUUAAGUUGUUUUUCUCUCAGUAUCUGCAAUAUGCAGACAAGCCAGAGUGCUAAUUUAUCUGAAGCCUGUUACCCCCCCCCCCCACACACACACCCUAGUUGGCCUUUAGUGAUGUUCCUUGGGGCUUUUUCCACAUUGGGGUCUUCUCCUUAUCCCAGAGGAUGAUGUCUGCAGUGAGGAGAGAGACCCACACAUCCCCCAAGGUACUUAUCUCAGCUCUGAUACCUUCUGGAGCUCCACUUGUAUAUUUUACAUCCCCAGUGACUACAGCAGCCCAUUGGCUGCUCCAAGUCUGGACCUCCCUGGACUCAGCAAGUCACCAAUCUCCAUCAGCUUCUACCCUAAGUAAGAUCUCACAGCCACACCAGAGCUGCCAAAGUGGAUCACCACUGUGUCUCCUUGAAACACCUACCCAGUAAUAUUGCUACCUGGAUUCCAACCAUCCAAUGAUGCCAAACUGAGCAAGUUCACUGAGGAGAGGAAGAAUAAAUGAUUAUUUGGGGCCUUUGAAAGGCAACAUGUGAAUAUGGAUACUAGGGAAUGUGCAGCACCCUCCCCACAUGUGAACAGUGUCUCCUGAACUCCAGAGUAACCCAUCCCUAUAACAGAUUUGAUAGUCGGUCAAGGUGUUUAUUUGUGCUGGUUUGAACUUCUGGAGGCUGGCUAUACCUUGUAGCCUCACAAGCCAAUGCUGAUCUCAAAGGUCACACCCAGAACCCACAAAGUUGGAGCAGGUGGUAGUUUCACUCCCUAUGGGGUCACUCCAGAACACCCACUAACACCAAGAUGAGAGGCCUUGUAGUGGCAGUGGAAUGGGGCACAGGCAGCUUUGCUUUCCUACAGGAGUCCAGAGAAGAAAGAGUGAGCAGGACAGUGACUCCACAUCCCCAGCAUCUGCAAGUGACUGUCCCUCACUGGACCAACCCAUCUCUGCUCCAGGAGUACCUUCUGCUAAUCACUCACACUAUUACUUGUUUCCUUCAUAUCCUGUCAAAUAUGUUUUUCUUAUUUUUAGCUCUGCCAUAGCUCUUUAUAGAAGUUUAGACAGAAAAAGAUAAUAUGAGAAUGUUUAGGACAGAAGAUUGUGAGGAGAAAUAAAGACCAAGCAGAAGUGCUGGAAAGUUCCAUGUGAGACCUUCAGCCCCACUCUUUGGUAUCCGUAAUCCCCUUUAGGCAUCAAACUUCUUCAGUCCUGAGUAGGAAGGAGUAAUAUAGAAAGACAGUCUGAACAGAGCCCUUUUACCUGCACAGGCUCCUGCCACUUCUCAACUACUUGUGACAUAGAGAGUGAGGUUGUCCCAUUUACAGAUGGGGAAACUGAGGCCCAGGAAACUUCUCUGAGCUGUAUAGAGACUGGUUGUGUUGACAAGAUUGCCUACAGUCCUUUCACUGUAGGCCUGCUGCUUUAGAUAACACAUAGUAAUAGACUCUAGAGACCAUUUCUUGAAGAAGAGGGGGUGCUACCAAAUCAACUGGAUCUUCACAGAAUAGUCAGACAUAGUGGGUGUCCAAGAAGCAAGAGGUAAAGGGGCUACCAUGGUUCCCAUGUCAGUUGAGGGAGAAAUAGAGAUUACAGGUGCCUUUCUCCAGCUUCAGGAAAGUUGUGCACCAUCUAGAUACCCUUCCGGUACUAAAGAAGCAGACAGGCUAAUGCCAUUGUUUCCUGGGUCCAGAUUACCAUUGUAGGCAAAUAGCACACAAUACUAAGUGAACGGAGGGAGGGAGAGCUUAGGGAGCUUUAGUACCAGCCUUGAGUCACUGGAGAUAUCUAGGUGGGUGCUGGGACAGUGGAAAUAUAUACAUGGUGACUCAUCACACAAAUGCUAGCCCUGGACUGCCUGUAGGGAGCCAACUUGGAGCUGGCCUCAAGACCUGGCAGCCGGCUAUCUUUUUGCUUUUCACAGUCAGUGGCCUCAGAUCACUCACCAAGACUGACACUGAAAGAACAUUCCUAGACUUGUUUCACUUUCUCAUCAUUUCCCAUCUAUGCUAGCUACCAUGAACAAUUGGAGGCUAUCUGUUGUUUGUGGCCACCAGAUAUAUGUGACCACAGCUGCCACAAGCUCAUAUGUGUGGGCAUAAAACCACCACACAAGAUUCUCCUAUUUAUACAUAAAGACCUGGUUGACAUCCAUAGUCCACUGUGUGGAGUCAUCUAUUGUGGCCACCUCCUCUUAACUAAGCUGGGACUAAUAUCCACUGCAGUUUUCUGAAUAGCUUUUACUUACAGGGUACCACCCCUUGAGUUUCCAUCUCAUAGUUCAUAAGAGACAAGGAGGAGUACUGGCAGGGACUGGUUCAGAUAAAGGUGGUCAUGAGCUUCUGACAGUGAGAUCUUGGGUCCCAUCUACUAAAAGUGUCCCAACCUAGGCUUCUUUGUAUAUGGCCUUUAUAAGGCUUUAUGUCAGCAGCAUUUCAGAUAUGAACACAUAUAGUCCUUAUAUAGACCCAGCCAAAGUGACACAAAAUUGAUACUUGCAAACAUUUCCCAGGGCCCAUGUAAAACUAAUUCUUUUUUUAAAAAAUAGUGUUAAGACUCUUUUCCCAACUAUUCCACACAUGUAGUUCUAUAUCUUCAUAUUCUUGUGGUAGCUAUGUAGUAAACAGCAGAGAGACUUUGGUACCUGUCUGAAGACUACUAAUUCUAUUCUAAAAAGCCUAAAAUGAGGAAGAAAAUUCCUUCCUUAUUCCCUUCAAGAUGACCUAUUCUAGUCAGGUGGUUGUGGUGGCGGUGGCACAUGCCUUUAAUCCCAGCAUUUGGGAGGCAGAGGUAGGUGGUUCUCUGAGUUUAAGGCCAGCCUAGUCUACAGAGUGAGUUUCAGGACAGCCAAGGCUACAUAGAGAAAUCCUGUCUUGAAAAACAAACAAACAAACAAACAAACAAACAAACAGAAAGAUGACUUAUUUUGGCUGUUUCUUUCAGCUCAGCUGCACAGUGGUGAUGUCUUGUGGCAGAUUUUGUAUCUUGUCAUUUUUCCAAUCACAGCUGCCCAACAUUAACCUUUCCUAGUAAGGUUCUUUCUUAGGAUUCUUCUACCCACCUCCAGGUUGGCACUGAUAAAGUCAAAUAACAUUCAAUGUAUGCAAGCACCCAGAGGCCAGAACACUGAGCUUAAGGCAAAAGUACUCAGAAAAGACAUCAGAAGGGUGGAGUAAGGAAGGGACUGAGGACAGGGUGGUUGCCACAUGGGGGAAACUUUGCACAGUUUGAGGCAUGUCACCUAUUGAGUUUCCUGUAGUCAGCAUUGAAACAGCUUCCCUACUACCAAGUUCCAAGCAUAAAAAGAAACAUGCAGCUAUUGUCUGAUGUACAGACACAGAGUACCUCAAGAGCCAGGUUUUUGGCUGUGAAACUUCAACUGGAUUUUUUUAAACCAAUAUUGUAAUUGCUAAGGCACUGCUUGACUAUUAUAAACAACAACCACAACAAGGAUAAAUGAGGCAAGAAGUGGUAUCUUUAGUGAUGAGAUCAAGAAAAGAGCUGUCUUUCACACUUAACCUUGAGGAUCUUGUGCCUGCCAUUCUUUUGUGUAUAUCUAUAGUUCCAUCUGGAACACUGGGUUUCAUGCCUGACAAAAACAAAAACCCAAAACCCAAACUCUGUUGCUUCACAGUGUAUAGGUCGGCUCCUGAGUUCUUUUAGUUUUUAGAUGUCUGGAAAUUUUCCAAUUAAAAAUGCAAUGUAUUUUAAAUUGGGGAGUUUUAUGUUUAUAGAUAAUUUCAGCCACAAAUAGUUUCAUGGAUUCCUCACUUAUGCACAGAUUCUUUUGUUCUUAAUAGCUUACAUUAAUAUACAUUGUUAAAAUGGAUAUCAAUAUAUAUUACUAUGAACUAAAGUCUAUAGUUUUCAUUAAGGUUCAUUCUUGAGAUAGAAUAUUAUGUGUUUUUGUGGCACUGGGACUUUGCUCAAGUUAGGUAAGCACUUGCUCUACCAUUGAGCUACAUCCAUAACUUCCUGGUUUGGGCAAAUGAUGAUCACAUGUUUCUACUAUUACAGUAUCAUACGGCAUCAUUCACUGUCUUAAUAGUCUUUCAUGAUCGACCCUUCUCUUGCCAUCACCGAGGUUUUGAGAGUUUCUACGAUUGUUUACUUUUCCAUAGUUCAUAUCAUUGGGAUCACACAAUAUGUCAUAGCUUUUCCAUAUGAGUGUCUUUCAUUUAGCAGCAAGCACUUGGAAGCUGAAGAGAUAGCUCAGCUGGUAAAGUGUCUGCCACGUAAGCAUGAGGACCUCAGGUUAAAUUCCCUAGUAUUCAUAUAGAAAGUUGUUUAGUGAGAACUCUCCAAUUUUGGUUUCUUUAAGAAACACAGAAAUAUUAUUAGACUGUGUUUUCAUCUUAAUCCCAGGUGUGGGGAUGUGGGGCUGCUUUGGACGGACCACAGCAGCUGACUGUGAUUUGCCUCAGGCUCUAGCAGAGGCCUUGUUUGACAGUUCCAGAUUGUCUAGGGCCCUGAGAGGCAAGGUGGGUGGAGACUGGUCAUUUGGGGGCUGUUUGCAGUUUGUUAGUAGUUGUGCUCAAAAAAGAAACAAGAAGAAAGAAAUUUGAUUCACAGAUAUCUCUCUCUUCCUUCUGUCCUUCUUUCUCUCCUAUCUAUUGAUACAGGAUGAUGCAGUGGGGAGGGGCAGUGGGUAAAGGGUGAGAAAAAGAACCCACAAAGUAGCUAAGUCCAGCUACAAAGUUGGGCAUGGUUCAGAGCUGGGGAAGCAGAGACAGGAGGAUCCCUGGGGCUUUCUGGGUUAAACUCCAGGUUUAGUGAGAGAUAGUUGUCUCAAAAAAUAAGGUAGAGAGAAAUAAAGGAAGCGACUAGACAUUGAUCUCUGGCCUCUACAUGUACAUACACACAUGUUCAUGUAUACUUAUUUACAUAUGCAUGCAAACACCACAGACACACCAAAUUUAAAAAAAGCAAUUAAGUGUGUAAGGUUGCUACAUGUCCUUUCAUAGCUCAGUAGCUCACUUUUCAAAAAAUCCCUGAUUAAAACAGUUAUGUGGCUAUACCUCCCAUCUAUUUAAUAUUUUUUGUUGCUUCUAAUGUUUGAUGAUUACAAAUGAAGCUGUUAUACUACCUACAUGUGCUGGUUUUGUGUAUAGUGGUAAAUAUCUAGGAAUUCAAAUGGUGAUUUUUUAAAAAGUUUUAUGUAUGUUGGAAUAGUUUUGUACAGCCCUGGCUAGUCUUGAACCUAUUACACUGCCAAAGUAUGACCUUAAUCUCCUGGUCCUUCUUCCUCCACCACUAAGUGCUGGCAUUACACUUGUUUGCUGUCACAUCUUCUAAGACGUUGCUUAGUUCAGUAGCAAACUGACAAACUAUUUUCCAGAGUAUCUUUAUUAUUGCUCAUUCCCACCAGCAAUGAAAGUGAUGUGCUGCUGUUGCUCUACAUCCUCACCAGUAUUUGGUGAAUUAUAGAUUUUAUAAAUUUUGGCUAUUCUAAUAGGUGUGUAUUGAUAUCUCAUUGUUUUAUAAAUCUGCAUCACCUAAUGACAAAUUAUGUUGAUAUGUUCAUAUGCUCAUUUGCCAUCUGUAUAUUUCCUUUGCUGAGUCAUAUGUUCAUAGCUUUUUCCCGUUUCUAUUUGUGCUGUUUAUUUUCUUAUUGUUGAGUUUUAAGGAUUUUUAGAAAUCCUUUAUCAGAUAUGUGUUUUGGGAAUAUUGUUUUUCAGUCUAUGUCUUACCUUUUUAUUCUUCUGACAGUAUAUUUUACAGAGAAAUGAUGCCAGUGUUAAAAAGAUAUAUUUUACCUUUAAGUGUGUGUGUGUGUGUGUGUGUGUGUGUGUGUGUGUGCACAUGCCUGAGUGCCUGCAAAGGCCAAGUGUCUUGGGUACUGGAAAUCAAAUUUGGAAGAGCUAUGUCUCUAUUAUUUUUACACGUGGAUGUCUAAUUAUUCCAGCAUCUUUUGUUGAAAAGACCAGCACUCCUCCAUUGAAUUGUAUUUGUUCUCUUAUCAAAGGUGAGUUUACUAUAUUUGUAUAGCUCUAACCUAAGUUUUGUAUUUGAUAGCAUCAAUUUAUUUCCCCCAUAUGACUCUUGAUUACUGUAAUUUUAAUAGUAAGUCAUGAAAUCAGAUGUUGUUAGGCCUAUACUUUUGUUUUGUUUUGUUUUUGAUCAAUAUUGUGUUAUCUAGUUCGGGUCUUUAGCCUUCCCACGCAAACUUUAAAAAAUAGUAGAAUCAUUUUCUCCUCAUUCGUACCACAAUCAACUGCAGGUUGAGUGACUUUCUUACAGCUAUUGACUCAGGCGUCCAGACUCCUUCCUUCUUGACACUACUUCCUUCAACAUGUACCCUCCAAGCAGUAUAGAGGAGAUGUGCAAUCCCAAUGAAAUAGAACAAAAACUCAGAACAAUCUUGAAAGGUAGCCCUAAAGAUCACUUAGACUUUGGUCUAUUUUGUAGGUUUCUUAGAAGUGGCCAGAACUGCUGGUUCAAGGUUCAAGUGUGCAGAUGGCCAUCCCCUGGACCAGGUAGCCUGGCAGGGUCAGGGCCGGCAGUCAUUUGUGUUGUAACUCCUGCAGGAGAGUGGACCCAAUCUAUCACUCUUGUUUCUUAACUCCUGCCUUUUCUACUGUGGGGGCUUUGUCCUUGAGUGGACAUAAGCAGGCAAAAUGCCCUUCUCCCGUCGACACGCCAGCAUCUUCUCAUAUCAUUAGGCCGGGAUAUGCUCGGAGACCACCUAGUGACUGACCAAUCAGGCAGGGACACACUUAACUCAAACCAGUGGGUGGAAAGUGGCAGGCUCGUGGGCUGUGCCGUUGCCCCUUUAAGAGUGUCCUCCAACCGCACAUGCUCAGUUCAGGUAGAGCCCGCGCACGCGCAGAGGUAGCAGCGGAUGUUUACAGCGGCUGAGGUCCGUCCGAAGCGACAGAAGCGUCUGAAGAACUGCUCUCCGAGACUCAAUACGGGGGCUGCUGAGCGCCGAGGUUCUUAUAUAAUCCACGCUGGCCUGGAACUCACGGAAGAUCACCUUGAACUCCUGAGCAGGAGCUGUUGAGAUUCAGAAAGUCUACUAAUCUUUUGUGGUUUGGUAGUCUUUCCUUCAACCGUUUAUAUCAGCAUCACCAGCUUUUAAGAAAUAAAGCCAUUAGUUUGGAAAAGUCACCCGAGCCUUGCUUGGCUGUGACCUUGAACAUGGGCGGUGCUGUGAGUGCUGGGGAGGACAACGAUGAGCUCAUUGAUAACUUGAAGGAAGCCCAGUACAUCCGGACGGACUUAGUAGAGCAGGCUUUCCGCGCUAUUGAUCGAGCAGAUUAUUAUCUUGAAGAAUUUAAAGAAAAUGCAUACAAAGACUUGGCAUGGAAACAUGGAAAUAUUCAUCUCUCAGCCCCGUGCAUCUACUCGGAGGUGAUGGAGGCUCUGGAUCUGCAGCCUGGGCUUUCAUUUCUGAAUUUGGGCAGUGGUACUGGCUACCUCAGCUCCAUGGUGGGGCUCAUUCUAGGUCCUUUCGGCGUGAACCACGGGGUGGAGCUUCAUUCAGAUGUCACUGAGUACGCGAAGCAGAAACUGGAUGUCUUCAUCAGAACCAGCGACAGCUUUGACAAAUUUGACUUCUGUGAACCUUCCUUUGUAACUGGAAAUUGCCUGGAGAUUGCUCCAGAUUGUUGUCAGUAUGAUCGUGUUUAUUGUGGGGCUGGUGUGCAGAAAGAACAUGAAGAGUACAUGAAAAAUCUUCUCAAAGUUGGAGGCAUCCUUGUCAUGCCCUUGGAAGAGAAGUUGACCAAGAUAACACGCACAGGUCCUUCUGCUUGGGAGACAAAAAAGAUUCUGGCUGUUUCCUUUGCCCCUCUGGUCCAGCCUUGCCGUUCGGAAUCAGGACAGUCCAGACUUGUCCAGCUACGUGAGUAUGAACAUCCUGUCUUUUAUCUUUGAUUAAAGUUAGAAUAGAAACAGAAUGUACAAAAAAAAUUUUGAUAUUAAAGAGUGCUAAUCUCCUCUGUUGAAUUCUCAAAUUAUACAGGAUGUUUUAGAUAUUUUUAAAGUAUCUCUUUUUAGUUCAUCUUGGUGAUCUUAAUCUUCUUUUAAAUCUAUAAAAUGUUGUUGCUAGUCAUGCUUUUGAGAGUAGCAGAUUCACACACAAAGGAGAUUAUUUUGGGAAUCAUAGGCAGUUUGCCUUGCUUGCUGGGAAUUGUUACCCGAAUAUAGCCCUCUUUCUCACAGUACCUGUCUCAUGCCACUUUAAGAAAAUAUAGGUGAGGAACCUGUUCUGCUGUGUGAUUGAGAAAUUUUGUGUAGCCUCACAUACUUUGAACCAUUGUGUUGUUUACUCUCUAAGAUGCAGGCUGUACAUGGAGCUAAUGUAGGCUGACCUUCAUCCUGAUGUUUGUUUCAUAUUUAAAAUAUCUUUUUACAAAAAUAGGAUUUCAAAGUGAUGAGGAUUUAGGAUUUCCAAAUGAAAACUAUCCAUCAUACUUUUCUGAUCACUUAAAACAUUUGGUAAACCUCUGAGUGUGUGUGUGUGUGUGUGUGUGUGUGUGUGUGUGUGUGUAAGAGAGAGAGAGAGACUAUGAAUGUGAAUUAUAAAUAGUUCUAACACAUACAUUUUGGUUAAUUUCUUCCAAAAAUACUUCAAUUAGUGGAGAAUUGUUUACUAAAUUGUCCUACUUUGUGUGUCAGGUAACAUAGACAAAGCCUUGACAUUUGGUAACCAGCCACAAUGAAACAUACAAAGAGCUUGGAAGGAUGAGGGAAGUUAUGUAGAGGAUGAUGUUAUGUUGUGCUUGGUUAUGUUCAGGGUGAAAGGAAACUUUCUUAAGAGAGGUAUAGAGAAUCUCUUACUACAUAUCACCUGUCAAUAUAAAAGCUUAUGGCCAAUAAGCUGAGGCAGGAAAUACGAGGUCAGACAUCCAGUAGGGAAAGAGAGAAUUCUGAGAAAUAAUGAGAGGCAUGGAAGAUUUAAGCUGAAAUGCUGAGGGGUCAGACAUAAACUAGCAAAUAGCUGAACUCAGGAUAGAAUAAAGGGAAAAUUCGCUCUAGGAACUCUUGAGAUGGAUAUACAAAGACAAGGAGAAGAAACCAGCCAUGCAGCUGAACCCAGGUUAAAAUAACAGGGAUAAUGAGUUAAGAAAAAGUCAGAAAACAAGCCAAAACUUACAGCCUAGUCAUCUAUCAAUGAAUAAUUAGUCUUAGAGAAUAAUUAUUUUUUCUGGGAGCAGAGGCUGAGAGGAAAAACUUGAUUAAUUUUUAUAGCUGUUGCUCAUCAGCAUUUAAUCUAAUCCUUUAAUUUUCAUAUUCAGUUAUUAUUAUGGAGAACUUAUUAAAAUGGUGGAAAAACCUAAAGUUACAGAGAGGAGUAGAAAGCUAGAACCGGGCAAACUUUGGGACACACAUUUCAUGGUGUAGUCACUGUGGGAUAUGUUGGAGAAACUGACUGGAAUGUAGGUUGGGUUUUAAUUCACUAUGUGGCUGUGGAGAGCUUCAGAUAUUAUUCAAGAUGCCGUACAUUUGUAUAGGUAUAAUCCUAUCAAUCAUUUGUAGGGUGAAUUUGUCAGACUGGUUUUCUGAAAUUUUGUUAUUUAAACAAAUGUGCCCCUACUAAGAAAAUGCACCAUCCUUUGGCACAGUUUCUGGGUUUGGAAGACAAGAAUUCAUGAAAACAUUUGGGAGACUUUGAAAAUCUAGUUAAACAUGAGUGUUUCUGUAUGAGGACUUAUCAAGCCUGGCUAGGAACCUUAGGCAUGCAUUGCCUCCUGAAAUGCGAAUGUUGAGUAAUAAACAUUUGUGUGAUUUGGUUAGAAUUUCUAAAGUGAUCAGUUGGGUAGGGUGUUUGCAGUUUCUAUCUUUUCUAGAUCACUGAAGUUGAUGAGACCAAGGGAAUAAGAGAAACCAUAUAGCAAAGCCAGCAUACAAAGAGACCACGCAGCUUGGACAUGCACUGCCUGGAGCAUCCUCCUAAAUGGCAUGCAUGCAGGCUGGAGGCAGAAGUCAGGCAGGAAUGAUGGGGUUUUCCCUAUCAUGCAAGAGAAAAAGAUUGAGACACCACCAGCCUCUCAACAGGAAGGGUUCCAGGACACAUGACCUUUCUGAGGAAGAACAGGAGAGCCUAAGCACCACCAGCCGUGCGCAGCCUACAGGACCUGGCCCGGCUUGCUAUCCGUGGCAGCAUCAAGAGGGCUAUGCGACAGGAAGCCACAAGAGGAGGUGGCCUGAAGAACACACCUAUGUUUAAAAGAAGGCGAGUCCGUCGCCGCAGAAUGGAGACCAUUGUCUUUUUGGACAAAGAGGUUUUUGCCAGUCGAAUUUCCAACCCCUCUGAUGACACCAGCUGUGAGGAUGCAGAGGAGGAUCGGCGGGAAGUGGCAGAGAGGACCUUACAGGAGACCAAGCCUGAGCCACCAGUGAACUUCCUUCGUCAGAGGGUAUUGCGCCUCCCAUUGCCUGAUCCCCUGAAGUACUACCUGCUGUAUUACAGGGAAAAGUGAGCUGUGGGAGAGUGGGACCAGGAUACCCAGAGGAAACUGCUGGCCAGGUACAUGUCUUUUCCCUUUCUUGGUUCCUGUCUGUGCUCUAAAACUUCCCAUGUAAUGGUGUGAUUUAUUUAAGUACAGUCUAACAAGAAACUGCAUAGAAUUAUUUUCUUUGGGGGUGGGGUGGGAUGUGCAUCUUUUUGGCUCUACUGUAACUUGAACUCAUUGGGAACUGCAUGAUGUCUGCUCCUUAUAGAGGCAAGCUUUCACAUUGAGACUUGAAUUAAAUUUGAUUGGAUCCUGUGUGAGGCAAGGGGCAAGUCUGUAAAGGUGUGACACACCACCACGCAAAUUUCAUGUGAUGGUUCUAUUGCUGGCCUCUGACUUUUGCCUUUUUCUAUGCUCAGAAAAUCCUCCCUUAUUUAAAUCAAACUAAUCAAAUAUUAUGUGAAAUAAUCAUCCAUAAUUUUUUAAAGAAAAAGAAAAUGAGAUACAGAAGGAGGAAUAAUGUAUAGAAAUGCCAGAUAUCCUUCAGGAUUUUCCAAAGACUUUCAAGCAGUCGAUCCUCCCCUGAUUCCUUCUGAUGCUUUAUAGGAACCACCAUCAAGUGAUCUCUUUUUCUGAGAGGAAAAGUUUUUCCUGAACCAUCGCAGUGAUUCAUGAGUCAGUUCUAAGGUAUCUACAUGAGAAUUUUCGGUGCAGGUGGAGAGACUGCAGUGUCACAGAACGCCCGCACUUCUUGACUUCUUUGGUCAUAUUAGAGUACCAGGUCAUAGAUUUUUAUCUUUUAUAAUUCUGGAGAAAAAAAUUGUUAGUUUUGUAAGUUUUCUUAAGAACAGAUAUAUGUAUUUUAAUAGCUCCAUUGCAUUAGAGCAGUUUAACUUAGUGACAUGUGAAAUCUGUUAUCUCCAGGCCAUAGGUGUUGAGAACUAUCAAGUUUAAAAAUAAAGGGGGGAGGGGCAACCUUUCUGCUGUCAGAGGGAAAGACUUGAAGUUGCAUUGCUGAUUCCAAAAGCUGGCUCUUAAAAAAAUUUUUUUUCUAGCCCAAAGAAAAGAAUAGUGUUAAUUGUUAGUAAUAAGCCCAAGUUAGAGUACUAAUUUAGGAUUAAGUACUGAGAUCUUAUGAUUGACUUUUAGUUUAGCCUCACGUGACUUGCAGGGAGAAAUUUGAUAGUUUUGCGAUUUCUCCAUCUUAAAUGUGUAUUUUGGUUCUUUUUCUUUUUUCUUUUUUUUAAGUUAGUUGAAUCAUUUUUACCACACAUUAUAGUCUGCAUGUAUAGCUGGGAAAAUGUAUAAUACCCUACAUUAUAAAUAUAAUGUACACUUACAUGACUUUAAAUAUAAGCUAUUUAAAGAAAUUCAUAGUUGGUUUUACUUGCCUUUUAACUCCACUUUGGGCUUCUUUUCUCUCAGAAGGAAGUGCAUGCUCUAACUUGACUUGCAAACGUUUGUCGUUUGCAGGUUGUUCUUGAUGUUAACUCUGAUUGUUAGCUAGACUUUUGUUACCUGGAAAAUUUUGGACAUAAAAUUAAAUAAAUGAUACCUGUGAAGUUUGUAUAUUAGGUGGAUUGAUUGAAUUUUUUCCUGUAAUUGAGUAUGGGCUACAUUUUGAAAAGCCACAUUUGCCUUUAUGCUGGACUUUUAAAAAAUGACAAUGCGUAAGACAUUUUCCCUUUAUAUGUUAAACUUUUCUUAGCAUUUUGUAUUUAUAUUUUAUCACUUUGUGAUUUUAAACCACAAUUCAGUGAAAUAUAGUUGUAACAAGUGAGAAAUAGAUUGGCCUUUAUCUUAUACUACCAGGGAAAUUUUAAAUUUUCUCAUAAACACUUUGCUGCCAGAAUUCAGUAUAUACCAAUGGUAUAUACAAUAAUAUCCCACAUUCUGUUUUCAGGCUAAUAAAUGUUAAUAUAGUCUAAUGUUUGUCUUCAGGAUCUGUAUUGUAAACAAAAUAUUGACAGUGGCUAUGUUUCAAGGAGUGAGUAUUUUUAAACACAUGACUUCUGUUGUAAGAAUCAAAGGUGUACAUAAAAAUAGAUUUGUCAACAUGGAACUUAAAGUUGAAAAUCCAAGAAAUUAGAAACACUGAUUUUUUUUUAAUGAGGUGAAACAUAUGGGUAAACACAAAUGAAUCAAUAAAAUCGUGUUACGACAUUCUA